rnacentral:rRNA from 1 species
AUUGAACGCUGGCGGCAGGCCUAACACAUGCAAGUCGAACGGUAGCACAGAGAGCUUGCUCUCGGGUGACGAGUGGCGGACGGGUGAGUAAUGUCUGGGAAACUGCCUGAUGGAGGGGGAUAACUACUGGAAACGGUAGCUAAUACCGCAUAACGUCGCAAGACCAAAGAGGGGGACCUUCGGGCCUCUUGCCAUCAGAUGUGCCCAGAUGGGAUUAGCUAGUAGGUGGGGUAACGGCUCACCUAGGCGACGAUCCCUAGCUGGUCUGAGAGGAUGACCAGCCACACUGGAACUGAGACACGGUCCAGACUCCUACGGGAGGCAGCAGUGGGGAAUAUUGCACAAUGGGCGCAAGCCUGAUGCAGCCAUGCCGCGUGUAUGAAGAGGGCCUUCGGGUUGUAAAGUACUUUCAGCGGGGAGGAAGGCGAUACGGUUAAUAACCGUGUUGAUUGACGUUACCCGCAGAAGAAGCACCGGCUAACUCCGUGCCAGCAGCCGCCGUAA